AACAAGGUUUCCGUAGGUGAACCUGCGGAAGGAUCAUUACUGAUUUGCUUAAUUGCACCACAUGUGUUUUUCUUUGAAACAAACUUGCUUUGGCGGUGGGCCCAGCCUGCCGCCAGAGGUCUAAACUUACAACCAAUUUUUUAUUAACUUGUCACACCA
rnacentral:rRNA from 1 species